UAUAACUGUUCUGAGACCAGUGCAGACAGACAGCACACUGGAGGUUAAGUCAUGCACUAAAUAGGAAGCAAGGGAGCAUCCUAUAGCUCUCCUAUAACUGUUCUGAGACCAGUGCAGACAGACAGCACACUGGAGGUUAAGUCAUGCACUAAAUAGGGAGCAAGGGAGCAUCCUAUAACUCUCCUAUAACUGUUCUGAGAUCAGUGCAGACAGACAGCACACUGGAGGUUAAGUCAUGCACUAAAUAGGGAGCAAGGGAGCAUCCUAUAACUCUCCUAUAACUGUUCUGAGACCAGUGCAGACAGACAGCACACUGGAGGUUAAGUCAUGCACUAAAUAGGGAGCAAGGGAGCAUCCUAUAACUCUCCUAUAACUGUUCUGAGACCAGUGCAGACAGACAGCACACUGGAGGUUAAGUCAUGCACUAAAUAGGGAGCAAGGGAGCAUCCUAUAACUCUCCUAUAACUGUUCUGAGACCAGUGCAGACAGACAGCACACUGGAGGUUAAGUCAUGCACUAAAUAGGGAGCAAGGGAGCAUCCUAUAACUCUCCUAUAACUGUUCUGAGAUCAGUGCAGACAGACAGCACACUGGAGGUUAAGUCAUGCACUAAAUAGGGAGCAAGGGAGCAUCCUAUAACUCUCCUAUAACUGUUCUGAGACCAGUGCAGACAGACAGCACACUGGAGGUUAAGUCAUGCACUAAAUAGGGAGCAAGGGAGCAUCCUAUAACUCUCCUAUAACUGUUCUGAGACCAGUGCAGACAGACAGCACACUGGAGGUUAAGUCAUGCACUAAAUAGGGAGCAAGGGAGCAUCCUAUAACUCUCCUAUAACUGUUCUGAGAUCAGUGCAGACAGACAGCACACUGGAGGUUAAGUCAUGCACUAAAUAGGGAGCAAGGGAGCAUCCUAUAACUCUCCUAUAACUGUUCUGAGACCAGUGCAGACAGACAGCACACUGGAGGUUAAGUAAUGCACUAAAUAGGGAGCAAGGGAGCAUCCUAUAGCUCUCCUAUAACUGUUCUGAGACCAGUGCAGACAGACA